rnacentral:pre_miRNA from 13 species
CUCCAAGGAACAUUCAACGCUGUCGGUGAGUUUGGGAUGUGGAAAAAACCACCGACCGUUGACUGUACCGUGGGG